CCAGAGGUAUGAGGAGAAAAAGGAGCAGGUAAAAAAAGAACUGCAGAGUGCAGUUGCAGUUAGCCUAACAGCUGAUAUGUGGACAUCCAUCAACAUGGAGGCUUACCUGGCUGUGACCUGUCACUAUGUCGACAGUGAGAACCAUACACUGUCUACAUCAAUGUUGGGAGUGGAACACUUCCCUCAGCAGCACACUGCUGAAAAUAUGGCCCAAGGAAAAAAAAAAUAAUGGAGGAGUGGGCCAUAGAAAAGAAAGUGACAUGUCUGGUCACAGAUGCGGCUCCAAACAUGAUUGCAUGUGUCAGAAAGCUCCAAAUCAGGCACACGAUUUGCAUAGCGCAUUCUUUAAAUGUAACCGUUCGAAAAUCAUGUGACCAAAUUGAGACACUCACUGAAAUCCGAAAUAAAGCAAGGCAGAUUGUAACAUACUUUAGAUCCAGUACUACAGCCAAUGAGAAGCUGGCACAAGUCCAGCUACAGAUGGGAGGGCCAGUGAAGAAAUGAAUGAAUGAGGUAUCAACUAGAUGGAAGAGCACGUAUUUAAUGCUGGAACACAUGAUGGAACAGAAGGAGUCGGUGUUGGUAUCCCUGGCCUCUUUAAAAAAUGACAGACCUCAGCUAACUUCAGAGGAUUAUAAAAUCAUAGAGGACACACUCCGUGUGCUUGCUCCAUUUAAUCAAGCGACAGUGGAGCUGUCUGAGGAAAAAAAGAGUCUCUGAAUCAAAAGUAAUCCCAAUGCUUAAAAUGUUGCACCACUCACUGCAACGCAACGCAUUAACUGUAACCACCGAAAGCGCAAUCAAUCUCGUGGAAAACCUUAAAAGAAGAAUACUAGAAACACUGUGCAACCUGGAGUCAUUAAGUGUAAUGACAAUACCAACACUGCUGGACCCUCGGUUCAAGACGAUGGGAUUCUUAAGUGCGUCAAAAACCAAUGAUGCAGUGAAAAGACUGAAAUCGGAGUGUGCGGCAGAAAUGAGAAAAACGCUAUACCGACGCAAAUGGAAGAUGCCAAAGCUGGACCAUCAACUCAACCGUCUGCUUCCAGUUCAGAUGACAACCUGUGGCAGCAGCUGGACAUGGAAGUUAAGGAGAGCAAGGCCAAUUCAAAUUUCACCACUGAUGCCAUUAUCGAGGUACAACGAUACAUCUCUGAGCUGACCUAACAGCCAUCCAGUCCUUCGCCAAGGCAGAAGAAAAGGCCGAGUGGAAGCGAGCUGGUUGUAACAAAAAGGACGAGGUUUGGUAUGGUCCAACUGGUAAGCCACAUCUUCCCCCAAAAAAUAAUAUUUUUUUUCUAGAUUAUGAAAAUUUGACACAUGGUCGAGACCAUGUGCCAAAAAUGAGGGAUGCAGGUAGUAUCUCAAGACAUUGGUACACUAAGGGCUUAACUAGCUUAACUAAUUACUCCAAAAAAUUUUGUGAACGCUGCAUGAUUUGCAAAAUAAAUAAGGUUAGUAGGGGUAUUAAAACUCCUUAAAGUGCCCAACCAACGGCUGAUUGACCAUUUCAGCAUCUCCAGACUGAUUUCAUUGAUAUGUUUUCCAAAUGUAUUGAAGCAUUCCCAACUGAGGUUGGGACAUUAAAAACAGCAUGCUAGUGCAGUAGCAAAGGCACUUAUAACUGACAUAAUCCAAAAGUGGAGGAUCCCUGAAAGAAUUGGCAAUGACAAUGGUACUCCAUUUGUCAACAAAGCAUUACAGCAGGUCGUGAGUAUGUGAUUUAUGAAUUUAAAACAACAAAUUGAUUUAAAACAAUUAAUAGUAUAUAUGAUAAUAGUGUAUAUGAGAACUAAAAAUAAGGGAAGAACAAACCUAAGCCCUUUUGAGAUCCUAUUUGGCAGGCCUCCAAAUUUAGGAAUUGGGUCCAGAGAAACUCCAAGGCCACUCACGGAUGAGCGUGAGUGAAAUGUUAAGUUAUUGCGAAACCUGUCCUGUGUUUUGUGUGAAGUUCACAAGCAGGUGAAAAACUUCCUUCCAGGACCAACAAGUACCUAUCUACAUGAUCUGAAAACCAGGCGACUGAGUGAUGGUGAGAGAGUUCGGGAGAAAAAGCUGGAAAGCCAAGAGGUGGCUAGAUCCGUUCCAAGUGCUCCUAACGACACACACCGUCGUCAAGGUUGCUGAAAGAGCCACGUGGAUCCACGCUAGCCAUUGUAGAAGAGUACCUGAAUCAACUGAAACCAGCCCUGACACACACACACAGAACAAGAUUAAAGGGGCAAUGUCAGCUUGACCUUUUGCUGAUAAUCACACAAAAACAAGAGAGUUUUUGCACAAAAGUCACCUAAACGUGUUGAGCCAGGAGAGGGGUUCCUGAUAAAAGAAGAGGACGUCAUCGAGCCAACUGACGUUGGAAGGUGUGAAAUAGCUGGCUGAUCGAACUGAAAAAAAACAAACAAAAAAAAAACUUUGAACACUGAGUAAUAGAUUACAUCUUGAAUCAAAAUCCAGAAGAUUUAAUGAGACAGAUUUUCACCUCAGUAACUAGUGAAAGAGUCGACUGUGAGCUUGUGUGUGAUUUUUAUCUGAUUAAACAGGAUCAGCGAAGUGACAUUUGGAACUUGUGGAAGAUCCAGAGACUGAGAGUGAAACUUGGGGAUAACACCUGUGUUGCAGAAAAUUGUUGUAGACUAGAUAAUCUAUAGAGGAAGGGUGUUUCUAAGCCUCGGUGAGGUGGGACGAGUGCUGAUUGGGCGUGCCCGCACUCCGAGCACCAACACCAACAUGCCUAUUAUUGACACAUGGUGUAUUGCAUGUUAGCAUGUCUAAGAUUGGAUGUGGCUUAGAUAAGUUAAAUUGGGAAAAAGUUAGCUCAAUUCUUAAACAGGUGUUCGAGAAUUAGGUAAUUACUGUUUAUGAAAAGAACUAAAGUGUUAAAUAAUUAAUGUAAAUAGUUUUUAUUUACCUAUUGAGUUUCUUUUGA